rnacentral:rRNA from 1 species
UACCAGCUCUCCGAGUGGUAGGGAUGAUUAUUGGGCUUAAAGCGUCCGUAGCCGGCUUAGCAAGUCUCCUGUUAAAUUCAGCGACCUAAUCGUUGAGCCGCGGGAGAUACUACUAGGCUAGGAGGCGGGAGAGGUCAACGGUACUUCCGGGGUAGGGGUGAAAUCCUAUAAUCCCGGGAGGACCACCAGUGGCGAAGGCUGUUGACUAGAACGCGCUCGACGGUGAGGGACGAAAGCUGGGGGAGCGAACCGGAUUAGAUACCCGGGUAGUCCCAGCUGUAAACGAUGCGAGCUAGGUGUUGGGGUGGCUACGUGCCACUUCAGUGCCGCAGGGAAGCCAUUAAGCUCGCCGCCUGGGGAGUACGGCCGCAAGGCUGAAACUUAAAGGAAUUGGCGAGGGAGCACCACAAGGCGUGAAGCUUGCGGUUC